rnacentral:rRNA from 1 species
AACGUAGGGGACAAGCGUUAUCCGGAUUUACUGGGCGUAAAGCGCCCGUAGGCGGCCUGACAAGUUGGACGUGAAAGCUCCUGGCUUAACUGGGAGAGGCCGUUCAAAACUGUCAAGCUAGAGUCUGGAAGAGGAGAGCGGAAUUCCCGGUGUAGUGGUGGAAUGCGUAGAGAUCGGGAGGAACACCGGUGGCGAAGGCGGGUCUCUGGGCAACAACUGACGCUGAGGAGCGAAAGCGUGGGGAGCGAACAGG